AGUUUCUGGCUUUAGUUGCCCAAAAUAUCUACUUGACUUAUCACCACCGAGAUCCUAACUUUUUUGCUUCGUUUUCUUUAUUCUCACCGGAGAAUAUCAGCCGUCAUCGUCUCCUACGAUUCUCAACUUCAACGGCUGUACGGCUCUUAAUGCUCCAUUCAUAACUUCAACAACCCGAGAAGCAUGCAACCUUUGUGAUUCCCUCAGCUUCAUAGCUUAUAUAUCCAUCUCUUUCCAAUGCCUCUCACUCUUACCAAAAAUAUAAUCAAUAACCUAAUCAGGCUAUGGCUACGAAGAUGACGAAAUCCACUCACAAAGCCUUAAUCGCUCAGUUCUUCAACAACGUCGCUCAUGGCUUGGGAGAGGCGGAGUUGUGACUCCGGUUAAUUCAUAUCUAAGAAGCACGAAAGGGGCAGUCUAAUUGGCCUUGAGCUUCAUCUCAUUGAUGAACAGUAAUUAUCGUCCUGUAAGAUUCAAGUCCUAGAAAGAAGAAGGCGAGAAGUGGUUGUUUACUCUCUUCAGUUCGCUUGCUCCGAGGAUAUCUACCCUAACGUUGCUGCACUGAAAGGUCUCUUUUCUCCAAGCUGGACAGAGAAGUACACGAAAAAGGAGCAAAUAUCAUUCAAUGAGUUAACAAUGCAAUAACUUUUUGAGGGAUAUUAUUUCUCUCAAGCACGAAGAGAGGACUUUACAAGGGCCAUCCUACCAUUGAAAGGAUGCAAAAGUUAGCAAAGGAGCUGAGUGUAGUGGUAACGGUUAGCUUCCUUGAGGAGGAAGUCCCAUAAUCCUGAUGGACCAUGUGAGUCAAGUUUGGAGUUGGAAAGAGUUCGACCUUCUUUUGCUGACACUUUUUCUUAACUUCCGGUUGUCAAGAGAAGUUUAUUUCAAUCCCGGAUACCCCAGCUUCAAGAAGUAUUGGUGCAAUGUUUUAUUCAGGUAUAUGUUGAGAUCAAUGGUUUCCCGAGGCAGCAAGCCCUAUGGUUCUACAGGGUGCCUAAGUACUGUUUUAUCCCACUGCCAUUGUCUCCGAACCUCAAUACUAGGGAUUGGAUACACGAGUGAUCACUUGAGGAAUCAUUCAAGGGCUAUAUUCUUACAAAAGCAGAGCCAUUAACAACGUCCUUCCCUCUCAAGUUUGCUAACUUUGGUGUUGUAUUAAAUAGUAUCUGUUCUCUUCCCCUUAUAGAGAGUAAGAAAAAAAGAGUUUGUUUUUUUGGUAUGUGCAGGUUACGAUUUAGAAGAUUCAAGGAGACAAUGAUUUAAGAUAAAAUAGUUUCUAUAUUAAUCACCUAUAGUUUUAUGGCUUCAAUUCUCUUAACAGAUUCUUUACCAGAUUUGUCAGAGGCAAAUAAAGAUCAAACAGUUUCCAAGGAGGAUAGCUUCAGAAGCAUACCGAGCAAUGAUGAUUUGGAAAGAUGAUCAAGAUGAAAUGAGCUUAAAUGUCAACACUGCUAAUAAUGUUGAUCUAGGAGGUUCAAUUGACUUCAUCAGUGAAUCAGGUUGGAUGGGAAUGCUCACUUGCCUCAAUGACGUAACUCAUUUCCUGCAACAUAGAAGGGGCAUUGAGACGGGGUGAAACAUGGACUCCAGUUCUGAACACAUUCUGCAGCAGCAAGCUAGAGCAGAUGUACAAAGUCCAAAUGCAAUUCUAUGAAGUUUCAAAGCUUUUGAAAGUUUUCUCAGAAGUAGUGAGAUAUCCCUAUAUACUUUUAGUUGCAUUAAUAGACUAGAAAAAGUGCAUACAGAUUUUUGUCUAUUGGUCCUCAGGUCAAAUAACUUUGAAAUGUUUGCUUUUAUGUUGUUUCAUCCGAUUAAAAGGUCACUUAUACUGUUAAGACAAUAACAUAUUUUUGCUGAGGUUACAGAUAAUGACUACACUCCAUCGAUUCAUUGUA